AGAGUUUGAUCCUGGCUCAGGAUGAACGCUAGCUACAGGCUUAACACAUGCAAGUCGAGGGGCAGCAUCAUCAAAGCUUGCUUUGAUGGAUGGCGACCGGCGCACGGGUGAGUAACACGUAUCCAACCUGCCGACAACACUGGGAUAGCCUUUCGAAAGAAAGAUUAAUACCGGAUGGCAUAGUUUUUCCGCAUGGGAUAAUUAUUAAAGAAUUUCGGUUGUCGAUGGGGAUGCGUUCCAUUAGGCAGUUGGCGGGGUAACGGCCCACCAAACCAACGAUGGAUAGGGGUUCUGAGAGGAAGGUCCCCCACAUUGGAACUGAGACACGGUCCAAACUCCUACGGGAGGCAGCAGUGAGGAAUAUUGGUCAAUGGACGAGAGUCUGAACCAGCCAAGUAGCGUGAAGGAUGACUGCCCUAUGGGUUGUAAACUUCUUUUAUACGGGAAUAAAGUUAGCCACGUGUGGCUUUUUGUAUGUACCGUAUGAAUAAGGAUCGGCUAACUCCGUGCCAGCAGCCGCGGU
rnacentral:rRNA from 2 species